rnacentral:lncRNA from 1 species
UAUAACAAGUUGUUGUUUCGGCUCCAGCUACUAUCCCUUCUCUCCCUAUUAACACCCUUCCUUUUUUCGUUCUUUUUGUUUUCUUUCUGCCUUUCAAUUUAUUUCACCCUUUUUUGCCUGUUUUUUCGGAGGCCCUAGCUGCUUCCAUUUUGUACGCUUAGUUCAUUUUGCUUAAUGAAUGAAGCAGAUAGCUUGCUAUCUAUUUCUCAAAAAAAAAAAAAAAAAAAAAA